UGCGGGUUAGAUCUCUGGUAGAGAUCGCUAGUCUCAUAAGCUAGAAAGAGGUAGGUUCGAUUCCUACACCCGCUUCCAA
rnacentral:tRNA from 5 species